CAAAUUUGAAAUCUGGCUCCUUUGGGGUCCGAGUUGUAAUUUGUAGAGGAUGCUUCGGGUGCGGCACCGGUCUAAGUCCCUUGGAACAGGGCGUCAUAGAGGGUGAGGAUCCCGUAUGUGACCGGCGACCAAGCCCAUGUGAAGCUCCUUCGACGAGUCGAGUUGUUUGGGAAUGCAGCUCAAAAUGGGUGGUAAAUUUCAUCUAAAGCUAAAUACCGGCCAGAGACCGAUAGCGCACAAGUAGAGUGAUCGAAAGAUGAAAAGCACUUUGGAAAGAGAGUCAAAAAGUACGUGAAAUUGUUGAAAGGGAAGCGCUUGUAACCAGACCUGCCGUCGGGUGCUCCGCGGGCAUUCUUGCCCGUUUACUCACCCGCGAUCAGGCCAGCAUCGGUUUUGGCGGCCGGAUAAAGACUUGAGGAAUGUAGCUUCGCUUCGGGGAAGUGUUAUAGCCUCUUGUGCAAUACGGCCAGCCGGGACCGAGGACCGCGCUUCGGCUAGGAUGCUGGCGUAAUGGUUGCAAGCGACCCGUCUUGAAACACGGACCAAGGAGUCUAACAUCUAUGCGAGUGUUUGGGUGUUAAACCCAUGCGCGGAAUGAAAGUGAACGGAGGUGGGAACCCUCAAGGGCGCACCAUCGACCGAUCCGGAAGUUUACGGAUGGAUUUGAGUAUGAGCAUAGCUGUUGGGACCCGAAAGAUGGUGAACUAUGCCUGAAUAGGGUGAAGCCAGAGGAAACUCUGGUGGAGGCUCGCAGCGGUUCUGACGUGCAAAUCGAUCGUCAAAUUUGGGUAUAGGGGCGAAAGACUAAUCGAACCAUCUAGUAGCUGGUUCCUGCCGAAGUUUCGUAAGUUCUUCCGAGGACCCACCCCCGAAUGAACUCUUGCUAACAAUCUCAAUAGCCUCAGGAUAGCAGUAACGUUUUCAGUUUUAUGAGGUAAAGCGAAUGAUUAGAGGCCUGGGGGAUGAAACAUCCUUCACCUAUUCUCAAACUUUCAAUAUGUAAGAAGUCCUUGUUACUUAGUUGAACGUGGACAUUUGAAUGCACCGUUACUAGUGGGCCAUUUUUGGUAAGCAGAACUGGCGAUGCGGGAUGAACCGAACGUGGGGUUAAGGUGCCGGAAUGUACGCUCAUCAGACACCAAGAGGGACGACUUGUGGUGUCUUGCCGGGGGAUGGACCCCCGGCAUCAGUCUGCGAAAGGCGAGGUCUUUGACCUGUAGGGGUCGGCGGUCGCUCCGGCGAUGGCUUACCCUCUGCUGUCCCCUGACCCGGGCAGCUCACAGAUCAAGCAAAGGCCGGCGGCAGUCCGCCGUUGGAGAUAUGAUCGGCCCCUGGAGG
rnacentral:rRNA from 1 species